rnacentral:rRNA from 1 species
GACGAACGCUGGCGGCGUGCUUAACACAUGCAAGUCGAACGAGAAUCUACGGAUCGAGGAUUCGUCCAAGAGAAGUAGAGGACAGUGGCGGACGGGUGAGUAACGCGUGAGGAACCUGCCUUUCAGAGGGGGACAACAGUUGGAAACGACUGCUAAUACCGCAUGACACAUUGGAGUCGCAUGGCUCUGAUGUCAAAGAUUUAUCGCUGAAAGAUGGCCUCGCGUCUGAUUAGCUAGUUGGUGAGGUAACGGCCCACCAAGGCGACGAUCAGUAGCCGGACUGAGAGGUUGACCGGCCACAUUGGGACUGAGAUACGGCCCAGACUCCUACGGGAGGCAGCAGUGGGGAAUAUUGGGCAAUGGGCGCAAGCCUGACCCAGCAACGCCGCGUGAAGGAGAAGGCUUUCGGGUUGUAAACUUCUUUUGUCAGGGACGAGUAGAAGACGGUACCUGACGAAUAAGCCACGGCUAACUACGUGCCAGCAGCCGAC